UAGGGAAUCUUCGGCAAUGGACGGAAGUCUGACCGAGCAACGCCGCGUGAGUGAAGAAGGUUUUCGGAUCGUAAAGCUCUGUUGUAAGAGAAGAACGAGUGUGAGAGUGGAAAGUUCACACUGUGACGGUAUCUUACCAGAAAGGGACGGCUAACUACGUGCCAGCAGCCGCGGUAAUACGUAGGUCCCGAGCGUUGUCCGGAUUUAUUGGGCGUAAAGCGAGCGCAGGCGGUUAGAUAAGUCUGAAGUUAAAGGCUGUGGCUUAACCAUAGUACGCUUUGGAAACUGUUUAACUUGAGUGCAAGAGGGGAGAGUGGAAUUCCAUGUGUAGCGGUGAAAUGCGUAGAUAUAUGGAGGAACACCGGUGGCGAAAGCGGCUCUCUGGCUUGUAACUGACGCUGAGGCUCGAAAGCGUGGGGAGCAAACAGGAUUAGAUACCCUGGUAGUCCACGCCGUAAACGAUGAGUGCUAGGUGUUAGACCCUUUCCGGGGUUUAGUGCCGUANCUNACGCAUUAAGCACUCCGCCUGGGGAGUACGACCGCAAGGUUG
rnacentral:rRNA from 1 species